UACGUAGGGUGCAAGCGUUAAUCGGAAUUACUGGGCGUAAAGCGUGCGCAGGCGGUUUUGUAAGUCUGACGUGAGAUCCCCGGGCUUAACCUUGGAAUUGCGUUGGAGACUGCAAGGCUAGAAUCUGGCAGAGGGGGGUAGAAUUCCACGUGUAGCAGUGAAAUGCGUAGAGAUGUGGAGGAACACCGAUGGCGAAGGCAGCCCCCUGGGUCAAGAUUGACGCUCAUGCACGAAAGCGUGGGGAGCAAACAGG
rnacentral:rRNA from 1 species